CUCUCACUAUUUAAAGCCGGAUCUAGUGUUUAAAUGGAGAGGCGGUGACGUAGGCCUGAAAAGCACCUUCCCAUCCUGGCAGAGUCUAUAUUAGAGAGCGGCAAUGGCUCUAUAUAAACAGGGCAGCCAAAGGGAGGAGGACCACAAGGCUCAGGGACUGAAAAGCAGGGUAAGCGGCCGCAGCCAUGAUGGAUCGACCCGAGUCGCCAACGGAAUUUUGAGAGACAUGGAAUGUAGUCUGGACAAGUGAAGGAGUUUAUCCUCAUAAAGCAAAACGAACUGUCAAAGUGGUAUGCAACUGAAAGCAUAUUUGGAAAAUAUCAAAGACAACAUAGCAGAGAGAGGAAAAGAUGCAACCUGCCAGGACCUGAAAGAAGAAAUUAGAGAAAGCAGAGACCAUUAAUACUCAGAAAAUGGGAAGUUGUCGGUUUGACGAUGCCAUUACCUUACUGUGAGACCUUCUGCAGUGACUUAACUUCUCUGUGCUUGAUAAGAUGAAAUAGUAACCACCACCUUUGGAUUGUUGGGAAGAUCAAAGGUACUAGAAAGUGCUUUGAUCGUGUUGAGCAGUGGAGCAAGUGGGAAUUAGAACAUACUUCUGAACUGAGUUCACCAAUUAAGCAAAGCCAUCUCUCUCUUGGACAUGCUCCACACCCAGUGAGGAGCCCCACAAGGGGCUUCAACUCAUGACCUCAAGAUCAAGACCCAAGCUGACAUCGAGUUGGACACGUAACCGACUGAGCCACCCAGGCUCCCCUUUCAUGUCUAUUUUUUAAAACUAGAUCUCCGUAAGCUCAUGAUUUGGGUACCAUCUAUAGAACUGAGGAUGUACUAGUGUGUAGUUUUUAUGUUGCACAGAAGGACUCUUCUGAGACCGUGGAGGUGAAACCCCGUGACCAAUCUACUUGCAGUAUUCUCUAUGUCCUGAUGUGGGGUUUUUCAGCGCAGAAAGUGGGAUGCCCUUUUGUAACUCAAAUGAAGUUGUCAAAAGUGCUGCCCUUGGUCCUGAUGAUGCAUUUGGUAUCAAAACCACCUUCUGAAUAAGGUAUUUCUGGAGGGGGUGGACCAUGUCUCAUUUACUUCUGCAUCCUUCGAACCUAAUAGAACACAGAAUGGUUGUUUCAAAACAUUCUUGAAUGACUAGUGUAUUAGCAGUUAUUCCAAAGAAGAGGACUUUGGAGAUAUGUCAGUCAUUGCUGUCACCUGAAAGUGAGGUGACCCACUCACAACCUUCCUGUAGGUGGCAGAGUAGCAUAGAUAAGAGUAUGCUGAUUGCUAUCUGCUAAUUCCUGUUGCUUUCGGUGCAUUUUUGUUGCAUGCCCAGAAGACCAAUUCUUUUAGUCAGUGAUUGCUUUUUAACGAGGAGGAUAAACCUAAUAAAUAAAAAACAUUAAAAGGCACCACGCAACUGUUAACAGGCAGCAGAUGAGCUGUGCAAUUUGUUCAAAAAGAGUUCAAAGUGGAAAGAAAUAAUCGGAGACCAUUUAUCAGUCUCUGAGAUAUGUUCCUUUUUUCCGCCAGUGCCACCACACUAGUUCAGGCUCUCAGGAUUUUACAGCAUUAAGUGAAAAGAAGAGAGAGGAAGAAAAGAAGAGGAAGAGGUGAGGGAGAUGCAGGAGGAUUAAAAAAAAAAAAAGUAACCCCUGGGGUUUGCUUUCUACAAGUAAAAGAUUUUGUCUCAUUCCCUUCUGUUGACCUAGACUGCGUGGGGAAGGAAAGUACAUGUCUUUCAGCUGAGUUCUUCUAAAAAUAGUAUCUAAUUUUUUUAGACCUCUAAAGAAAAAAAAUGUGAGUUUAUGUAAGCUCUUUUUGGAGAUCUAGGAUACACUUCUCUUUGGUUUGGAAAGAUCCUUUAAUGGUCCAUGACAGGAUGCAAUGGAGUGGAACUAAAAAUUGCUUUGCAUAAGAAAGUGAACUAUAAUGGAGACUCAUUAUACUUCCAUUCAAGUUAUUUAGUCUGCCAUUCCACUCAGUGGGUCUGUGAGGCAAAGAAAAGAUGCCCUCAAGCCUGAAACAGUCAAUGCAUGUUGGUAAAACUCAGGAAAUAAUUGUGACUCAUUUUAAUGGCUUCCCCACAUUGACCAUGAACUGGAACACAUUGUUCAGGUGACUGGGAUUUGGGGCGGUGAUGACUCUGUCAGUAUUCUCAAUGAAGAAACUGAAAAAUUGAGGGUCAUAGGGCAACUUCCAUUAAGGAAGACUUAUGCCUUAGUCUACUUUAUUUUAUGGGCACUUUGAUUUCCAAGAGUGUUGACUUUAGAACUUAAUCCCCACUUAACAUGAGAUUUUAAGAAUUUUUCAGUUUUCCCUUGGCAGUCAGGAAGAACACAGUUUGGGGACUUGAGGUGUUGGCUCCAUUUACUCAGGCUAGAGGCGAGGGAGAAAGAUGUUUAAUAAGGAUUCCCUCUGUGGGGUGUGAGUAGUGAACUUUAAGAGCAGGGAUGUCUGGUAUUGAGUUUUAAGUACUUUCCUGCUUUGUGCUGUUCUAUUAAUUGCUAACCUUCGAUAAAUGUCAGUUGUACCAUCAGCCUUGAAUUAUUAGUACCUUGCAGAAUGGAGGGGCUGCCUUCAUUAAAUAUGAAUGCAUCUAAAAUACUUAGUACACAUGGUUGCACCAGUAUAAGCGCUACAUAAAUGCUAACUCCUAUUAUGUUUUGGGAAUAGAGAAAGCGGCCCAGCAUGGAGGAAUAAAGAGGAAAUAGUUAAGAGGUGAUCAAGAAAGAGGUAGGAGGAGUUUGGAAAAGAGCUGACGAAUGGCUGGCGCUAAGGACAUUUCAAUUCUCAUCUUCACUUCCUCUCAUUCCCAACUUUUCUUCCCACAAAUCCUGAAGAAUACUAGGGAGCACACUUGGCUUCAAACAGCUACUUGGAUAUUAUUGAGUAUUAUUCCACUUGAAUAUUAAAGUACAAGGGGACCUUAGCAGGCUGAAACCUUGUGCCAGUGUGGGUCCCAGACAGGUCUCAAAACUUGCUCAAGAGAACUCUGGGCAGAUAGCAAUGAAAGAAUAGGGGGAAGGAGUAUAUUAUUCUUCAGCUAAGAAAACUUUAUACUGUUUUUGGCCAUGAACCCUUCUGUGCACCUGCUACUAAUAUCAGUUAAUUUCAUACUGGCUAGGCUAUACAAUUCUGUGUUCUAUUCAGGACAGAGUUCUCUCAAUGACAGGGGGCCACUUACAGAUCAUUGUAUUCUGCAGUAAGAUGUCCAUGGCCUACUUGGACUAAACAAAACACAAAGCUGUUUCUUUCUUUCCUUGUUUACUUAAAAAAAACAAAAACAAAAAAACAAACCCUUGAUUUUCUUUGCCCUAAAGCUUUCCUCUAGUCCAAAAAAAUCCAGCACAUUGUAGAGAUAUGAGUCUUUCUAGAAUAGUGCUUUAUUGGUAAGAUUCUAAAAUGGCUUCAUAGCAUUUACUGGGUUGAGUUGACCUUAGGCAAGAUGCAAGCCCUCCCUCAGCUUGGCUUCACUACCAAACUUACCUUCUGAUGUGCAUGAGCCCUUCACUCGGGUCAGGCUCCCCUUCCACUCAUCCAGCAUCCCACUUUGACACCUGACUCUUCCCAGUUCUAAACUCCCUUCCUCUUGCCACUGAGACCUCCAGGUCUCACUUAAAAGUCAUCUUUCCCGUGAAAACCUUCCAAGUAUUCUAGUCCCUAUUGAUUUUUUUUUUCCCAUCUGAGUUUAUGUUGACAUUAGUCAUUUGGAUUCAUCAAUUGAUCAAACAGUUAUUAGUUGAGUGCUGACAAUAUGCCAGGAACACACUGCAGAUAUGGUAUUUGAUUAUGUACUCUUAUAUUUCUCACUUAUAUGUGUAUGCACUUAUCGCCAAGAAAAUCUUAAAGAUUAUAUAAUUUUGUUUUCUUACAGAAUUUGCCACAAAAUAGGAACACAGUAAAUAUCUCUUGAAUUGAUUAAACUAUAUACGACUUAAACUAGGAUAAACAGUCGUUAACGUGUCACUUGUUAACUCAUCAUCUUACGAUCAUUAACUGUAUUAACUGGGUUAUGGGCCUUCUUUAUAACAUUUUUCCUUAUGCCUCACCUCAUUCAGUCUUCCAUAGUAACAGAUUUUGUUUAAAAAUUUUUAUUAAUUGCUCAUUUUCAUAGCUCAAAAAAAAGAGUAUUACAGACAAUCAGCAGAACAAUUACAAACAAAACCUCACCUCUAUAAAGUUAGCCAGUGUGUAGACUUUAUUACAUAGGCACAUAUUCUUUUUCUUUAAAAAAAAAAAAA